UAUACGACCGUACCGCAAACCGACACUGGUGCGCGAGAUGAGUAUUCUAAGGCGCUUGAGAGAACUCAGGAGAAGGAACUCGGCAAAUUGACACCGUAACUUCGGAAGAAGGUGUGCCCUAUUAGUGUGUAGUGAACAACGAAGCAUGAAUGGGUUGCAAAAAAUCGGUGGCUGCGACUGUUUAUUAAAAACACAGCACUCUGCAAACACGAAAGUGGACGUAUAGGGUGUGACGCCUGCCCGGUGCUGGAAGAUUAAAUGAUGGGGUGCAAGCUCUUGAUUGAAGUCCCAGUAAACGGCGGCCGUAACGAUAACGGUCCUAAGGUAGCGAAAUUCCUUGUCGGGUAAGUUCCGACCUGCACGAAUGGCGUAACGAUGGCCACACUGUCUCCUCCUGAGACUCAGCGAAGUUGAAAUGUUUGUGAUGAUGCAAUCUCCCCGCGGAAAGACGGAAAGACCCCAUGAACCUUUACUGUAGCUUUGUAUUGGACUUUGAACAGAUCUGUGUAGGAUAGGUGGGAGGCUUUGAAGCAGGGUCGCUAGAUCUUGUGGAGCCAACGUUGAAAUACCACCCUGGUGUGUUUGAGGUUCUAACCUAGGUCCAUUAUCUGGAUCGGGGACAGUGCAUGGUAGGCAGUUUGACUGGGGCGGUCUCCUCCCAAAGCGUAACGGAGGAGUUCGAAGGUACGCUAGUUACGGUCGGACAUCGUGACGAUAGUGCAAUGGCAUAAGCGUGCUUAACUGCGAGACUGACAAGUCGAGCAGAUGCGAAAGCAGGACAUAGUGAUCCGGUGGUUCUGUAUGGAAGGGCCAUCGCUCAACGGAUAAAAGGUACUCUGGGGAUAACAGGCUGAUACCGCCCAAGAGUUCAUAUCGACGGCGGUGUUUGGCACCUCGAUGUCGGCUCAUCUCAUCCUGGGGCUGUAGCCGGUCCCAAGGGUAUGGCUGUUCGCCAUUUAAAGAGGUACGUGAGCUGGGUUUAAAACGUCGUGAGACAGUUUGGUCCCUAUCUUCCGUGGGCGCUGCAGAUUUGAGGAAGCCUGCUCCUAGUACGAGAGGACCGGAGUGGACACACCUCUGGUGUAUCGGUUGUCACGCCAGUGGCAUUGCCGAGUAGCUAAGUGUGGAAGAGAUAACCGCUGAAAGCAUCUAAGCGGGAAACUCGUUUCAAGAUGAGAUCUGCCGGGGCCUUGAGCCCCCUAAAGAGUCGUUCAAGACCAGGACGUUGAUAGGUCAGGUGUGGAAGC
rnacentral:rRNA from 1 species